GAGAUUUUGCUGUAGCUGUGUUG
rnacentral:siRNA from 1 species